AGUGAACGCUGGCGGUAGGCCUAACACAUGCAAGUCGAACGGCAGCACAGUAAGAGCUUGCUCUUACGGGUGGCGAGUGGCGGACGGGUGAGGAAUACAUCGGAAUCUACUUUUUCGUGGGGGAUAACGUAGGGAAACUUACGCUAAUACCGCAUACGACCUACGGGUGAAAGCAGGGGAUCUUCGGACCUUGCGCGAUUGAAUGAGCCGAUGUCGGAUUAGCUAGUUGGCGGGGUAAAGGCCCACCAAGGCGACGAUCCGUAGCUGGUCUGAGAGGAUGAUCGGCCACACUGGAACUGAGACACGGUCCAGACUCCUACGGGAGGCAGCAGUGGGGAAUCUUGGACAAUGGGCGGAAGCCUGAUCCAGCAAUACCGCGUGGGUGAAGAAGGCCUUCGGGUUGUAAAGCCCUUUUGUUGGGAAAGAAAAGCAGCAGGUUAAUACCCCGCUGUUCUGACGGUACCCAAAGAAUAAGCACCGGCUAACUUCGUG
rnacentral:rRNA from 1 species